rnacentral:lncRNA from 1 species
GCUUCAAUCCGCAAAUUUCCAACACAUAAUGGUUGGUGGUAUAAAGGAUGGGCAAGCUGUUUCCGACAACUAAAAGUAAAGGAAAAUAGCGGUGAACUCAUUUGUGUACACCAUGGCAUACAGACACCUCAUCCCUGUUACAGAGUCCACAUGACCAUUGAGGAUGCUGAUAAUCAAGCAACAAUUAUGCUGAUCGGAAAACAAGCAGAACAAUUCUUUGGAAGCAGUGCAGCUGCAGCUGCAACUACAGCAACUAUUCUUUUUGUACAAGUGCAAUCAACCAAUUAGUUGGAGAGUAUGUUGUACAGCUCCAACUGGAGCAACGACUUUUUUUCAACAGACUCCAGUAACAACUUUUGCUAACCAACUCCAACAUCUUCCGCAGCUGCAACCCAAACAAUCACCUUUUC